GCUUGUUCUGUGCAAUUUGAAUUGGUACUUCUGAAGCAGAAAUUGACCCAUCAGGAGCAAAAGAUUGUUUCCAUUUCAAGUACUUCAGGAACAUGGCUGAUGCCCGCUCUACAUCUAAAUCACGAGCACGUUUAGCUUUUUCUUGGUGAAGUAUAAGAUCAGAUGAAAAACAUACAGGGCUGACACGAGUACAAGCAGUUAGCACCUUGGAGAAAGAAUCUUUCCCAUCAACAUAUGCUCUCAUCAGACGAAUUCUUCUCAUCUCAUCCGUUUCUUCAGUACUGCUUUUCAUCUCGUUAUUUGUAUGUAGUCCUGCUACCGCUGUUUCUGCUCCAUCUCUUAUGGUUUUCUUGGACUCCAACUCAGGUGGUUUUAAACAAUGCCAGCUCCUUAGAACUUUAUCUUAUUUCAGUAAAUGUAAUUAAUGCUGAGCGGCCAUCUGGGUCAGCCCCCAUUUAACUGCUAACAACCGAACAAGUCAUCAGAAAUGGAUCUUCACCCCUUUGCUGAGUUUUUGCUUGAGUUGUAGGCCUCUAUUAUGAAUCUAAAGGCGUGUGAGCUAAAUAAACAGUAAAUUCAGUACAAUAAGUGUUUUUUUUUUUGAACAAAAUUCAGUACAAUAAGUUGGAGCAUAUCAGAAACUUCAUUUUUCAAGUGUUUUUUCUUUCUUUCUUUCUAAAUUCUGAAGUUGCCGUAACUGUAAUAUAAGCACCAUGAGGCAAUGCAUGAUACACCUCUCUCCCACGAAAUUUAUUCGGGUAGGGAGAAAUAGGGUCAUGCAAUAUAUAUGCUUGCUUUAAAGUAGGAUUUGUAAUGUAUGCUAUAACCAGAGGGUUAAGAAGCUACUGCAACUGAGAUUCCAUAUGCAUAUCAUUUCAGGAGCACAACAGAUUGGUGGACAUCAUGACAUGGGAAAGACCUC